rnacentral:rRNA from 1 species
UGGGGAAUCUUGCGCAAUGCGCGACAGCGUGACGCAGCAACGCCGCGUGGGGGAAGAAGGCCUUCGGGUUGUAAACCCCUUUCAGUUGGGACGAAGCCCCGUCCGUUAAUAGCGGUUCGGGGUGACGGUACCUUCACAAGAAGCCCCGGCUAACUACGUGCCAGCAGCCGCGGUAAUACGUAGGGGGCAAGCGUUGUCCGGAAUCAUUGGGCGUAAAGAGCGCGUAGGCGGUCCGGUCAGUCCGCUGUGAAAGUCAAGGGCUCAACCCUUGAACGCCGGUGGAAACUGCCGGGCUAGAGUCCGGAAGAGGCGAGUGGAAUUCCUGGUGUAGCGGUGAAAUGCGCAGAUAUCAGGAGGAACACCUAUGGCGAAGGCAGCUCGCUGGGACGGUACUGACGCUGAGGCGCGAAAGCGUGGGUAGCGAACAGGAUUAGAUACCCGCGUAGUCC